rnacentral:rRNA from 1 species
AAGGUCCUGCCUGCCCAGUGAAAAUUUUAAACGGCCGCGGUAUUCUAACCGUGCAAAGGUAGCGUAAUCACUUGUCUUCUAAAUAAAGACCAGUAUGAACGGCUAAAUGAGGACAAACCUGUCUCCUGCAAUUAGUCAGUGAAAUUGAUCUCCCAGUCCAAAAGCUGGAAUAUUAACAUAAGACGAGAAGACCCUGUGGAGCUUAAAACUUAGCUAGUAAAAUUCACUAGUACAAGUUUUAAGUUGGGGCGACUUCGGAAAAAAACAAAACUUCCGAGCACAGAAUCACCAAUUCCAACCGAGACUAACAAGCCAAAGAAAAAACUGACCCAGUCACACUGAUCAACGAACCAAGUUACCCCAGGGAUAACAGCGCCAUCCUCUUCAAGAGUCCAUAUCGACAAGAGGGUUUACGACCUCGAUGUUGGAUCAGGGCACCCCAAUGGUGCAACCGCUAUUAAAGGUUCGUUUGUUCAACGAUUAACAGCCCUACGUGAUCUGAGUUCA